AAUAUCUAAUAAAAGUAAAUUGAUGUUGCAUUACAAUAUUACAAUAUUUUAAAUGAUUUCAUGUUUACCGGAGAAUUUCACUUCCGUCCGAUAGUGGUUUUUAAUAUAAGAUAAAUGUGCAUCGUAUUUGCCAUCAUCAACUUUGUGAUUUGGAUAAAUUUAAUUCAUAAUACUUAAACAGUUUGUCUAAUUCAAAAGGUAAGUUGACUAUAAUUUUC
rnacentral:lncRNA from 1 species